rnacentral:rRNA from 1 species
CUACGGGAGGUGCUGCGCUGUCUGGACCUGUGGUACGCCUGGUGGAAGGCCAGGGAGGCGCUGCGGUACACCGACGCCAACCGCAACGGUCUCGUCAACGGCGACGAAAUGGACAGGCUCUACGCCUUCGCGCGCAGAAACAUCCACCUCAAGGCCGGUGACCUGGUCGUGUAG